AUUUUUAGAGUGAAUAUUACUAUGUUUGUUCGAUAAAUGGUAAAAAUAGAAUAGUACUGCUGGACAUGUAUAUUGUUAACUUUACCAUGUCACAAUUACUAUGUUACAUGGUAGUUUUUACUGGUUUCUGGUUGGUAUAAAUAAAUUAUUGGUUAUGAUUACGAUAUUUGGGAAUAGUAAAAUUAAACACAAUGUCGUGGUUCGCAGUACCAUACUUUUUCUUUCAGUGUAGGGAGCCUACACUGAAAAAAGGGACAUGGUAACGGCGACCAAAUCGAGGGUGAAAUUAAAACACUUUUACUACUUGAUUUUGGUAGACCAUGAUUAAUUUUUGAAACUACCAUGUGCAGGGUUCAAUUUACCAUGUCGCUUUUUAUUUACAUUUUAUGGUAGAUUUUAACCUUACUUCGUAGUUCGUUUUACUAUGUGCUUGAUAAGCAGCAUAGUACAUUUGACCAUGGCGUUACGGUUUUAGUUACCAUGUGCGUGGUUGAAUGGUACACUGAGAAAAAUUUUAUAGUAAAGUUAAUAAUUCAACCAUGUUUAAUUUUACCAUGCCUAAAAAUAGUCGUAACGAACAUGUAAUCAGUAAUGACUACUAUGUUUUCCUUGCAAUUACCAUGGUUUGACAAUCAAGCGCAUAGUAAUCAAUACCAUCAAACGUGGUUAUCUUGAUUACGCUGUUCGUGGUUGUCAGAACCAUGUUCAUGUUUUCCUAGUACUAUUUCCAUGCUUAGUUUUACUUUUUCCGUAGUUUUUCUCGUUAUCGCCCAUUUCCAAAAAAUAAAUGGUUUGCCACGUAACCGGUUUCAUAAAAAAUUAAUUUCUGAUGAAGACAUAGCUUUCUUGCUUUCUUAUUGUAAUUCGGCCAACGAUGUUCCCGCUAAUUCUCCUGGUAACAGGUUUGCCGGAUUGAAAACCUACAGCAGGCAUACCAGAAGAAUUUCAAAACCAUCCGUGCAAAUACUUCCCUUCCAAGGCAGCUAGCCAUCGAAGAGAUGCUCCGGAAGUUGGCUGAUGGAAAUUUGAUUCCAAGGAACAGAGGGAUAAGAAGGCGCCGAGGAAGGAAGCGAAAAGUUACAUAAAACUACUCGAACCCAAGAGCCAACUUCCUUACUCUCCUUUUAAUUGAUUGAACCGGAGAAAUAGGAAGUGUCCAGGUCGAAAAAUUACAUUCCAAAAAUUAAAUCUCAGCUUUGCCGAUGACACCCAAUCCGCAAUUCGCGGCUGAACUUCGGUGUAAUGUUCCUUGUUCCAUAAGUUCCGUCGCCGCCGACCAAUCAGUUCACGCCAGAAACCCUCAAACCAACCCUCCGUCACAGCAUCCUUCCAGCCAUGAUCAGCAGCUUAAUUUCCCGAAUGACGUCGUUUACCCGCAGUUGGACAUCCCCAGGAACUUAAGUCGAACCAUCACAUCUUGGCGCUCCCGGAAGAUUUUCAUGUAGAAACCAUUAAUAAUGUAUACAUUUUAUCAAUUUAUUUUAAUGGGAAGCAAUAAAUAUAAUCAAUUGCA